GUGGAAUGUUCUACUGCUAGUGUUUGCCUUGUGAAUUAGGACAGAAUUUUCUGAGCUCAACUUGGAAAUACAAAGCAGAAAUUUUAAAGCUGUUCACACUUUGGGAUAAUUUUAUGUGUUAGCCAGAUUGGCAGCCUGAACAGAACAAAAAGGCUGACCUUUCUCCGAGAAGAGAGAAUUCUUCCUACCUGAUGGCCUUUGAACUUGGACAUCAGUUUUUUUCCUGCCCUCAGACUCAAAACAUUGACUCUUCUUGGGUCUUGAGCCUGCUGGAAUUCUGACUGGAAAUGCAAUGUUGGCUCUCUUGGAUCUUCCACUUGUGGAAUCAACCAGCAUAUUUUGAGAAUUCUCAGCCUAACCUUGCCAUGUGCCAGCUUCAGAGUCAAUUCAUCUCGAGGCAAGGGGACCAGCCUUCUGUAUUCUGGUAUCACUCAGUGACUGGCUAUGGAUUGCCCAGGGUUGGAAGGCUCAAGUGUAACCUCUGAGAUAAGAUGCUCCUGUUUCUUCAAGUCAUUUCCAGCUGAAGCACAGUAACCCUGAUACUGGCAUUCAGGGGUAAGACUGCCCUUUCCGAGGACCUGUUCAAAGUGAAAACUCAGAAAUGGGGUGGUAAGAACAUGUCUUCAAAGACCUCAUCCAAAAAUGCUAAGUUUUAAGGGGACAAGGCUAGAUUUAGAAGAAAGAAUCACUAAAAAAAAAAAAAAAAAAAAAAAAAAAAUAGUGUACUUCAAAGGAGGUGAGCGGUUGUUUUCUCUAUCUAGCAGGAAGUUAGAAAUGCAGAUCUGAAGCACAGAUACAUAUGGAUAUGGAACACUUCAACAUUAAUGUCAGCAAGAAGCUCUUGUUUGCACAAAACCCAUUCUGAUAACUGGCUUGCAUGACUUGUUCUGUAGACUAGGCAUUCUCUUGGUUACAGCAAGUCUGUGACAGGCAAGCACCUGCCAAUCACGGGAAGAAAUUGUUUUCCUCCAAGCAGGCCUGGUCGAAAGGUCCUUGGUCCUCUAGAACAGCUGCAGCCCAGUUUCUGGCACCCAUUCACCAGCUUCCUGUGGUUUGAGUAAUGAGAACAGUAACUGUGCUUUCUACUGAUUUUUUGUUUUGUUUUGUUUUGGCCAGCUUCGUUGCCUCUUUACAUCUCGACCUAAUUUCCAGGAAUUCUGGCGUUCUGUGAGUUUCCCAGGAGUGUUGUAUGAAUCUCUUUAUAUUUAAAUUAGUUGAAGUAGAUCCUGGUCUAGGAGUAUAAUUACCCAAGGAAACAGUAAAAUAAGAGAUCCAAGUAGGGCAUUGGGCAAAUUGGGAAAGCAAUAUCUGAGAGGAGAAAGUGAGGCAGGAAAUCUAGAAUGCCUGUCCCAUCACCAGGUGAGAUUCAAGUUCACAUACUAUUCUGUCAUCAGGGAGGGGUAGGUAUCUGGUCCUACUUGGUCUCUGGCUGGCUAUCUCAUCCUCUAUGUCCUCCAUCCCACACACUUGGUCCAAGAGGACAUGGUCUACAAGGCUAUCUCUCAGGUGUCCUUCUUCACUUGCUACUGAUAACAGAUUGGCCAUCUGUCCUCUGAAGCUCCCUGGUCCCUGAUCACUCCUCUUCUCUUUCCCUCCUCUUCUCAGCAUUUCUGAGCCUUGUGUGGGUCCCAGGAACUCUCAGGUGCUCCUUCCAUACCAUGCUGGUGUGAGGAGGUUCCUUCAAGGUUGCUCUCAGACCCAGAGUCCUGGAACCUCUGUCCAGCUACUGCCAGAAUGCCAUGUGCAGCCCAGAGCCACAGGCACUGGGAACUCUCUGAAGGCUGGUCACCACCCCAGGAAAUGGCCAGGCAACAGAGCACCAGGCAACAGACUGGGCAUUCUGUUUGAAUAAUUCCAUUGUCCUCCUCCCUUUUCUAGAAUUUCAAAUCAAGCUGGGGAAGCCAAAAACUGAUGUUUGAUGUAGACUUUAUAAGGAGUGUAGUUUGAAAAAUUCUCAUACAUUUCUAGUUGGCUUAUAAAUGAAUACCACUUCUUGGAGGACAAAUUUGGCAAUAUUAAACAAAUUUUAAAUACACAUGACCUUGAAUGGCAACUUAGCCUUAGGAAUUUAUACUACAGACAUAAUCACGCUCUCAGAAAAUGACUUUUUUAUGAAGUUAGUCAUUAUGGGAUUGUCUGUGUUAGUGAAAGACUGGAAACAACCUAAAUAACUCUCAAUAUGACACUGGUUAAAUAAAAAAUUAUAGUAAAUUCAUGUAAUGGAAUAUAAUGAAAGUAUGAAAAACAAAGAAGUGGCUUUUUAUAUACUGACUUGUGAAAUCUCCAAGAUAUAUCUGGAGGGUGACACCAAAACCAAUAAUACUGAUUGUGAAGAAAGUAAGUGGGAGAAUAACAUUCAGAGGAGGGAAGGAAAAUUUUUACCAGAUGUUCUUUUAUACUUCUUGAAUUCUGAACCAUGUGACUAUGAAGCCUAUAAUAUCUACACACUUUUAUCUUCAAAAACAUUUGUUAAUUUUGAAAUAUGCCAUUUUUCCUAAAAAGAAGUUUAUAAAAAUUAUAUAAUAAUAUAAAAAGUUGCUCCAAGCUGAGUAAUUAUUUUAGAAUAUCUACCUACCCCUGAAGCUAUGAUUGCUUCAGUUUUAAUGAGAACAGAGCCUUGGGGCAAAAAGAAGCAAUUAUUAAUUCCUCAGAAUAAGCACUUACUGGUACCAGUUUAAUAUUUAAAAAAAUACCAUCUCCUAUGUACAGCCAAGAGUUGGGAUUUGCAUCAUUCUUUACUCAGACCUUUGUGUGUUGUUUCUCUUUAGUUCAUCUCAAUAUUUACAGUAAAACUCAUUCUAAACCUGUCAUUCUACAGUUUUUGUAGUUUGCAUAAAAUUAUAUCACUUGAAUAUAAAAUGACAACCAGAGGCAAUCUUUUGGUGGUUCUCAGACAAUUAAAAGCAGCUCUCAGUUUUAUAGGCUGCUUAACAUAUACAGAGCAUGCUCUAGGCUCUUCGCUAUAUUUGUUUGGUUGGAUGAUUAUAUUAUCAUAUAACCCUAUUAAUCAACUACAGAUGAGGAAAUUGAGGCACAAGAUGUUCACCAAGGUCACAUGGUUAAGAAGUGCUGAAAGGAGGAUUCAAAUCACAGAUCUUGCUCUAAUAAUAAGAAUGGUUAUGAUAACUAGUAUCUACUGAGCAAUAAUUAGGUGUCAGACCCUGUUCUAAAAUUUUUCCAUGGAUUAACGAUUUUUGAGGAAUUAGCCAAAUUAAUCCUUAUACCAAUUCUAUGAGGUGGUAUCCUCCCAUUAGAUACGAGGGUUAUUAGCAUAGUCACUGCUGGCUGCUAUAACAUAACACCAGAGACCAGGUAGCUUAAACAUUAAUUUCUCAGAGUUCUAGAGGCUGGGACAUCCAAGAUCAAAGUGCAGGCAGAUUUGGAGUAUUGCGAGAGUUUGUUUCUUGGUUCAUAGAGGGAGGUGUUUUCAUUGUGUCCUUAUAUGGGAAGUGGGAUGGGCAUAAACAUUUAGUCUAGAGCAGGUAUCAAGGCACAGAAUGCUGAAGAAAUUUAUCACAUUCUAAACCAUUAUGAUAUGGUAUUUCAUCACCAAACAAACCCAAAAGACAAAUAAGUUUAUCCCUAUCUUUCAGUGAAAUUCCCUAGUUCACACAGUAAUGAGUAAUGGAGACAGGGUUUGCCUUCCUGGGCUCUUCCCAUGGCACCACUGUGUCCUCCCUAAAGAAAGAUCCCCAGAGCCCAUGGCCGACCACUGGGGUCUGGCAUUAACCAGCUGUUUGUUUUGUCCCAGUUGUCUAAUCUCUCUGAGCUUCAACUGGCACAGUUUUGAAAAGAGAGAGGAAACCAGACAGUCUCUACAAAUACUGACAACCCCAGGAGGUUCUGCCACCCAGCUUUCUCACUCCAUUCCUUCUCUCACAUUAGAAAUUCUACACCAAAAAACCCACAAAAGCAAAAACAAAAACAAAAACUCCCUAUUAACUUCAUAUUCUGGUGCUACAAGACUCAGGAAAAAAUGAGCUCUGGGCAUUUAAGAUUAAGGUUUGAAGUGACAGACAAGAAUUAACAUUUGGAGCUGGGUUCAAACCCUGGCAACUCCUGUGUAUCAGCUGUACCCUUCUCAACACCCGCUACCUGCACUCACUGCCUCCACCAACACCAUCCUGUGCCUCUCUGCUCAUGCUGAACCUUCUGUCUUCAGUACCAUCUCCAUCCCUUUCUACUUUGAGGACCCCAAUCUUUAAUAUUCUUCAAGACCCUUUUCACUGUCACUUCUCUGAGAAUCCUCCCUGUUCUCUCCUCUCCCCAUACAGGAAGUAAUCUUUCUUGCAUCUGGUUUAAUUUUUUCUCUAAAUGCUAAUGGAUGACAAAAGCAUAGGAAUCAUUGCCCUUUCAUUUAUUUUGUGCUAUCAUUCUAACAAUGUUUCUGGUUAAAUAAUUCCUCAUCAUCUCAGGUCAAUUUCGCCUGUUACCCUGGAAGCCCAUCUUAAUUUUUCACAUGUGAAACUAAUAAUGAGGUUAUUUUAUAAGCAAAAUAAUCCCAGUUUGUUUGACCUUUUUUAAAAGGGCAUUUUCCCCCUCUUACUAUCAUGGUUGCCUUUGUCUGGCUCUCUCCAACUUCUUUACUUCCCUCUCCUUCUUAAAUACUGUCUUUCUCAAUCUCGUUCCCUCCCUCCCUAUCUUCUCCUUCCUUCCUCUCCUCCUUCUCUCUGUCCUUCCUUUCUUUUUAAAUCUGUAAAUUCAAUUAAAUUUAGCAAGUAUUUGUUGAAGUCCAGCUAGAUACAGGACUCUAUUAUUGGUAUUAUAAAGAUUAAAAAAUUCAGAAAUCAUCUCUCCCAUCAAGGAAUUUAACGGUGUACUCAGAAAGAAAUAUGCAAAAACUAAUUAUGGCACAAUACAGUUUAAGACAUGUUUGGGAAAAUGGAAAGUCAUCUUCUUUCAAAACAAAUAAUGCAAUACACACAAAAGCUAUCUUAAAAAUAAGUUAAAGAAACGUAUAAAACAUUUAAAAAUUGUUGUUAGUUCUCCUAAGAGGACCCAAGAUACAAAUUAGUUAUAAUUUGAAGCUUCUUCCAAUUUUCAUAAAACAGAAAGCAAGUCCAUUGCUACUGUUAGUUCAAAAACUACUCAAAUACAUUUAUACCUAAAAGAUAAAGUACCUUUCUUCUAUAGUUAUUUAAGCAAAAAACAGUGUAAUUUUCAUUUAUGGUAUAAUAAUUAUUUCCUUUUUUAGGUUUGGUAAAUAUUAAGCAGCAUUUUUUUUUUUUAAGCUUCUUUAGGGCCACACCUGAGGUAUAUGGCUAGGGGUCAAAUGAGAGCUACAGAUGCAAGCCUACACCACAGCCAUAGCAAUGCCAGAUCUGAGCCGCAUCUGUGACCUAUACCAUAACUCACGGCAACGCCAGAUCCCCUACCCACUGAGCAAAGCCAGGGAUCAAACCCAUAUCCUCAUGGAUAAUAGUUAGAUUUGUUAUGGCUGAGUCAUGAUGGCUCCUUUAGCAGCUUUUUAAUGGAACCCAAGUGCUCUGACAAUAUUUAUAGCAAAAUGCUUGCUUUAUGUGGAAGAGCUUCAAAGGGGAACAGCACAAUAAAAUAGUGAGAAGCUAGUUAGCAUCCCAGGCAGUCCAGUUGAUGUUUUUAACUCUAACAGGCCAAAGAUUGGCUUAUAAUGUUCCCUGGCUUAUAUUCUCACAUUCUAGAACAUGCAGCUUUAAAAUCUUUGGAAUCUAAGCAAUGCUAGAGACUUCAGUGACCCAUCUUGGCCAGAGGUACGUGCCUACCAAUAUGUUGAACCCCACCAAGGCUAGAGUCUCCUUCCCUGGCAGUGCUAUAGGCAACUUUAUUCCUUUCUUUGUCUGUCUCAAAUGAGUUCCUCCAUAUUUUAUAUCCACCACUACCACACCCAAAAAAUAGAUCUUCAUUAUUAUGAACCUGUUAUUAUAUUAGGUUAAUAACAAUAAUUAAUGUACUGAUUUACUUUUUUAUUGAAGAAAUAGCAACAGUCCAAAUGACACUGUCUAGGUAACAUAGUGCGUUUCUAGAAAUUGGAAUUGUAACAUUUUUAUAGUUGUUUUUUGUUACCAAGAUCAGAGCACGUCUCAAACAUUAGAGAGCAAGCAUAAAGAGUAAAUCAAAAUAAUACAAAAAUGUGGUUCAACCACAGAGAGAGAGAGAGAGAGAGACGGAAAGAAGAAUCAGAAAAAGAGAGGGUGUUAUUCCACCCAUUCCUUACUUUACGAACAAAAUCCUACUAUCAUAUUGGCUUACUUUUUUUUUUUUUUUUUUGCUUAGCCUAACCAAAAGCCUACAUUUAAAAAUAUCUUACAUAUUGCAAAGGUACUUAAUGCAAAACUUAGUGAGCAACUGCUCCACUAAAAACAAUUUUGGAUAAUGAUUGCUACUAUACUGGCAUUUUUCAUCCAUAGUGUCAGUCACAUACAUAUUUAUAAUGUUCCAAUUCAUCAGCUUAGAAAAUCCAAACAGCAUUUAAAUGAAACACACUAGAGCUCUCACAUUAUUAACAACAACAGAAAACAUAAAUAUAACCUCCUUUUUCAUCCUGGGUGUCCUUAAAAAGAUUUGCAUUGUUUUUUAUUAUCCUAUUCACAUAAACUAUGCAAAAGGAAAUUUAACAUAGAACGUGGAGGUCUGAUUUAUUUUUAUUCCUUUUCAACACUGUCUUCUGAUGUGAGUUGGAAAUAAUAAUGAGUAACACUAUAUUUUAGUCAAUAAAAUCAAUAUUCUGUUUUUAAGAAAUUAAUUUUAGAAAAUGAAAAAAGACUAACAAAAGAAAAAAUAAUACAUUGGGAUUCUGGGUGAAUUUCAAAAAUUCUGUCAAUAGCAUAAAUAUAUUUUGGGACUAUUACAUAAGAAGAAUUUUAUUUGGCCUAUGUAUGUAUUUUUAUCUCUACAUGUUCUAUUUUGAGGAAUAUUGCUAGAACAGUUUGCUCCAGCCAGAAAUGUUUCUAAAGAAAACAAAUAAAGUCUAGGUGUUUUUUUCUCUUUAUAAUUGUAAAAUCGCUAGCUGCAAAAAAUUUUGUAUCAUAUGGAAAAGUAGAAAAAUAAUUGCUCAUAAAACUACUAUUAGCACUAAUUUGGCAUAAUUCCUUCUGGGUUUUUAAUGCAUAACUUUUGGUUUGGUGUUAUUUCUCUCCCACAAAAUAAUACAAUUUGGUAUCACCUUUUUUUUUUUUUUUUCACUAGCCUUAAGUGCAAGUAAAAGGAUGUUAGAAUGAUAUUUAAACUCCCAUCUCAGCUCUGCCUCUGGCUUAUUUUUGUCAAGGCUUACUUCUCUAAGCCUUAGGUUCUCAUCUAUAAAAUGGGGGUAAUACUGGCAUUUGUCUGUUGUGAUCUGACCUAACUGAAUGUGUAUCCUCACAAUUGUUAGGUUCUUUUGGGUGAAUAUUGGUGAUCUGCCAUAAUCAGGACUCCUCUCCAACUACCUGGCUGUCAGGGGAUGGGUAGCAAUGAGAGCAUGGCUCAGACUGGUGUCUGUCAAACAUACGGAUAUUUCAUGACGAUCAGGAACACUAGUUCUCUAUCUCUUUAGGUAACCUCUCAGCAGUUUUCCUGGAAGUUAAACUCCAAGGCAAAGAUGCUAACACUCUUCUAAGAUGAAGAUCAACCAUUCCUCUAGUUGGAAUAAAUAAUGAUAUCUAAAACACUAUUCCAGAGAUGUUAGGCUGCAGGGCUUUCCAGAUAUCAUACAUCAUUCAGGCAAACUUACAGGUGUCUCUAAAGUAUUUAUAACAGAUCAACAUAGUUGGAACAUCAUUCAUUUCACUCAUGAGAAAUUACCACUAACACUUCUUAUGUUAACUGACGAACUCUCUAAUUUAAAAAAUCAAACAGUGAUAUAUGAAAACUGGUAUGGAUAACCCUGGAGUAUAGAUUCCUGAUCAAUACCUUUCAACUACUAUCAAUCACUUAUGGAAUGUGUAUUUCUGCUUUGAAUAUUGAACUGCUGAUCAAGUUUGUUUGGAUUAGAAAUAAAAACUAAUGUACACAUGCUUAUAGUUCAAUGCCUAUGAUAAAGUAUUUUAAAUAAAAUUAUGGACAAUUUAAAGUUAUCUCAAGAGUUCUCUUCUUGGCUUAAUGGUUAACGAAUCCAACUAGGAACCAUGAGGUUGAGGGUUCGAU